rnacentral:tRNA from 1 species
CAAAUUAAAGCUUUAAAGUUUUUUAUUUACAUUAAAAAGAAAAUUGUUAGUUCAGUUUAAUUUGA